CCUUCAAGGAUUAUACAUGUUAUUUAGAUAUUUGAGGUAUUAUUAAAAAAACAGAAUUACGUGAAGUGUUUUUUAAAAUAACAUGACAACGAAUAUUCACAUAAGAAGAGUUGAUACAGCCAAAGAUUUCAAAAUUGGAUGGAACAGACGAAUAUGAUGGAAAUAAUAAUAAAAGCUAUUUAGUUAAGAGUGCUUGCAUGUUUAUAAUACAAUAGCUUCCCCAAUUUAUUUUAAUUGGAGAUAUGUGCGUGUAUGCUUGUAUAGAAAUAUAUACUGUUAAUAUAUAAAAUAUGUAUUUAUUUUUGUACUGAAUCGUUACUAGAAGAAAGAAUUACAUAAUAAAAUGUUUAA